rnacentral:lncRNA from 1 species
UUCCUCCUCUAGAUCCUCUCUUACUUUGGAGUAUCCAAGGUACUUGAUGAAGGAGGAACAAAUCAGCUGUCGAAGUUACUUGCGGGCUAGCACCUCCAAGUCCCUAAUCUAUGCCUGUCUUCGUGUGGAUCUUCCUAUAGAGGCCAGACAACUCUGUGUGGCUAUGAGGGACUUGAAGAGCACCUUCUCUAAUCAUUGGAUCAGGAGAGAUCAAGAUCAAAUUUAUUUGGUAAUGAUCUCUAACUUGUUUUGAUUCCUAUGAUAGAUCUAAUAGUUAGAUC